GAUGAACGCUGGCGGCGUGCCUAAUACAUGCAAGUCGAGCGAACAGACGAGGAGCUUGCUCCUCUGACGUUAGCGGCGGACGGGUGAGUAACACGUGGAUAACCUACCUAUAAGACUGGGAUAACUUCGGGAAACCGGAGCUAAUACCGGAUAAUAUAUUGAACCGCAUGGUUCAAUAGUGAAAGACGGUUUUGCUGUCACUUAUAGAUGGAUCCGCGCCGCAUUAGCUAGUUGGUAAGGUAACGGCUUACCAAGGCAACGAUGCGUAGCCGACCUGAGAGGGUGAUAGGCCACACUGGAACUGAGACACGGUCCAGACUCCUACGGGAGGCAGCAGUAGGGAAUCUUCCGCAAAGGGCGAAAGCCUGACGGAGCAACGCCGCGUGAGUGAUGAAGGUCUUCGGAUCGUAAAACUCUGUUAUUAGGGAAGAACAAAUGUGUAAGUAACUAUGCACGUCUUGACGGUACCUAAUCAGAAGGCCACGGCUAACUACGUG
rnacentral:rRNA from 1 species